CAAAAAAUCAACAACAACAACAACAAGAGAUUCUCAAUGGCUUCAAGAAUUGUUCCUCAACAACAACCUAGAGAAACAAGCUUGUGCCAAUGUUCCUACUGCUGCUGUUGAUGGAGUUGCAGCAGUGGCUAAAAAGAAUGGCCCCUAAACCUGCUGUUCAGAAGAAAGCACUGCAAAACCAAAGCCUGUUGAAGUCAUUGAAAUCUCAGAUGAAAAGGACAGUGAAGACAAGACCGUGCACAAGAAAAAACGAUCACGCACUCUUACUUCUGUUCUCACAGCCAGAAGCAAGCAAGAUUGGUUCUUCUGUUAUGAACCAUGUACCGAUUCAACGAAGUACAACUUGUUCAAGGCAUAGAUGCAGUAGAAGCUGAAAUCAAGAGGAUGGUAAGAGUUUAGUUGUAUACAUAUGACUUUGACAUAAAGAUGUGUUAUGUUAUGGAUCAUGCAUUUUAAUUCAUUUUUGCUAUGCAUAUGAUUCUUUAUGAAUAAUGAAUUUGCAUGUUCUUUUUAGUAGUUUUUGUUAUGAGUAUGUAUGUACUAUUAGGAAUUUGAGUAUUAGGAGAGCUUUAGAAUUUAUGAUUCCGGUGUAUAUCCGUCUUUUUCAAGAAGAGGAGUUGAAUAUAUAUGAUUCUGGUGUACAUCUCUUAGCUUGGCUAUUAUGUGAAUUUUAUGAUACGUCAUUCACAAUUGUUGGCUCUGGAUAAGUCUAAAUUCGUCGUAGAUUAUGUCAUUGAAUUAUUCUGUACGUUUUUUCUAGGCUUUGAUUUGACUUUAUGUGUUGAAACAAUUAAGUUCGUUAUAAUAUCAAGCGAUGAGUUAAGUUUAAUAUUAAUUCUUAUUGUUUAUUCUUCCCAAUUUACAGAAAGAGGUAAAUAUAUGAAUGUUUGACUAUUCCGGGUAUUAUAAUCAGUUGGGGGUUUACUUCCCUUAAUACUAUAUUUUUCUUACAGAUUCUUGUCGUGCAUUUGUUUUAUUAAGUUUGUAUCAUUCUUGAGAAUCUGUGUAUGUUUUAGUUUUGUGCAGUGGCCUAAAUUGUGUCAUUUCAUAUUGACGGAAAAUCGUUGCAAUGAUCCAUCGGGUGCGUCGAGUAAUUCCCACUGUUAAAUUGCUUAAAUUUGGUCAUUUCUAGUAAGACUAAAUUGUGCCAGACUGAGUGUUUUGUGUGGUUGUUGGAUGGCUUAUGAAUGCGUUGUGUGCUUUGGAGCCAGUGGCAGACUGAGGUGAUGCUGUAGUGGGGGGAGGGAAAUCGGUGAAAGAGAACGGUGCAGCAGAUUAAGGAAGGAACCGAAGAUCACUUCUUGAUAUUGGAAAUGUGGUCACUCUAUAAUGUGUUGAAGUCAAGCCAAAUUGCCCUGUCACAAGUAGUUUUUGUGCACAACUACUUGGCAAUGCACAAGCAGCAGCAGUUAAUGAGAAUAACAAGGUUCUCUUAUAUUAUUUGUUGAAUCUCUUUUUUUAAUUGAUUUAAUUUAGUUUAUGUUAUUCAUUGGUAGGUUAGUGAUGAUGACCCCCCUAUUUGAUUUUGAUGAUUCUUUUAGUUGUGUUUGUCACAACUACUUGCCAAUGCUCAAGCAGAAGCAGUUAAUUAGAAUAACAAGUUGUUUCAGCAUCCACACUUGAUUCCUUUGUGAAAGCUUAUGGUGAGGUUAUCAUAUUCUUCCAGUGCUGAAGUUUUUGUGAGUUUGUGUAACGUUUUACUCCGUGGUUUAACAUACAAAAAUCUGGAGUAACUCUUCCCUUCCCAAGGUAAGUAUUUUCGACAACUUGGUUAGGUGGUGUUUGUUACGAUGACCUGUUUCAUUGGCCCACAAACUCCUCUGGUAUUGAAGUAGGCUUAGUAGGCUUAAAUUGUGACGUUUAAUAUUGAGCACACCAUGAUAUUAAAUUAAUAGUGAGGAUAUGAUGUUGAUCUAUAGUUCAUGAUAUUAAAUUGAUAGUGACGAUAUGAUGUUGAUCUAUGGUUUUGAUUUAACUCUUGAUAUGCUUUUCUCAGAAUCAAACUUCUCUUGACUCUUCUUAGGUGUUGCAGAAGAGGAUUUGGUUUUGAUUUAAGUCUUGAUAUGCUUUUCUAAGAAUCAAACUUCUCUUGACUCUUCUUUUACCCAUCAAGAUUUUGUUUUGUAUAAUUUUUUGAUAUAAUUCUUUGUUUGGUAAUCCAGAGACGCGUUUAUCCGUUUUGCAGCGGUCUAAGAGAUUUUGAUGUCUAGAAUGCGUUCAUAAAAUGGACAAGAGCACAGAGCCAAUAGUUUUCAUUUGGUGAUCUCUAUGGGCAAUGAAGUUUCGAUGGAAUGCCUUGAUAAAAUGGACAAAGAAGAUGGAGCGUAAAGUUUUAAUUUGGUAGCUGAUUUCUGGAUAUCUGGAACAAUUUGAUAUUAUAAUAAAAACGAUGAUAGCUUCAGAUGCAUAAUCAAAUUUCUUUGACCAAUCCUUCUUUCUGAUUUUUAUUUUUGGGCUUUGAUUACUUUACACUCAAAUUGAACCGUGAACUUGUUUUUCUGCAGCAUGGUUUAUCAAAAUAAAAAUAAUGUUGAUCUUUCAUCAAGGGAGGUAAUUUGUGAACACUGAUUCCUUCUGUUACUGGUUCUAUCUUUCUGUUGUUUGAUCUUCAUGUUUUGUAUUCUUAUUCUUUUCUGGUUUUUUGAUUUUGUUCUGGCUUAGACCGCCAUACAUGUGAAUUGAAAUAUGACACGCUGUUUUCUGCAGUGUAGUUUGUUUUGAAACAAUAACAUUCUAAGUAACAUCAAGCCUCAUGUUUAUUUUGCUACCAUGUACUUGGGUUGUGAACUAUUUUUAUUUUCAUUUCUAUUCUUAUUGUCUAGUCGAUUUACUUCUUUGUUCUAUGUUUGACUUUUUUAUCUGAAUUCUGACAGUGCCAAAGUUUACACGAUUCUAUGUUUGUCUGAUGAUUUGGUCGUCGGAAAAGGUUUUAUAUUAUCUUCUUUUAUUGGUUUGAGUGGUUUCAAUUGUUAUUAAUGAUUUAGAUGAUGAUUGAUACAGAUGAUACUCCUAAAAAGAUAUCCUUUUGGUUACAGUGGUCCGGGACUCCUCUGUUGUUAGGAGGAAGCCAAAAUUGCGUCACACAUCAUGUGCAGGCUUUAAUUGGGUUAUCUCUUCUAAGACUCUUUACAUUUCAGUCUACGUUGGAUACUUAGCUUUUACUUUUGUCAGUUUCAUUUAGUUUUCUGUGUGGGUGAAACAGGAGAUAAAUGUGUGGGGUGCCCGUGGAACCUGAGGCAGACAAGGGUUCUCAUACUUUUUUUGUGGUUUAGGAAUUUCGGUAUUACAUUUUCAAAACAACGCAGGCAGUUACUACACGAACGAGUAGCUAAUCUAUGGCCUCCAGAUGUUAAACUUGAUGCCAGCAGUACAUGAAUUGCACAAACUCGAAUCUCAGGACCUUUGUAGAUUAUUAAAGGAUGCCGGCAAUUUUUCUGUUCACUACAGUACUGGAAAAGGAGUGCUUCUGGAGGUUGCCUCAUUCUUAGCAUCUUGAUUUUAUUUUAUUUAUUUUUAUGAGACUAUUUUUUUGAAUUUUAGUUGUGUACACAGAU